AGACCCGAAACCCGGUGAUCUAGCCAUGGGCAGGUUGAAGGUUGGGUAACACUAACUGGAGGACCGAACCGACUAAUGUUGAAAAAUUAGCGGAUGACCUGUGGCUGGGGGUGAAAGGCCAAUCAAACCGGGAGAUAGCUGGUUCUCCCCGAAAGCUAUUUAGGUAGCGCCUCGUGAAUUCAUCUCCGGGGGUAGAGCACUGUUUCGGCUAGGGGGCCAUCCCGGCUUACCAACCCGAUGCAAACUGCGAAUACCGGAGAAUGUUAUCACGGGAGACACACGGCGGGUGCUAACGUCCGUCGUGAAGAGGGAAACAACCCAGACCGCCAGCUAAGGUCCCAAAGUCAUGGUUAAGUGGGAAACGAUGUGGGAAGGCCCAGACAGCCAGGAUGUUGGCUUAGAAGCAGCCAUCAUUUAAAGAAAGCGUAAUAGCUCACUGGUCGAGUCGGCCUGCGCGGAAGAUGUAACGGGGCUAAACCAUGCACCGAAGCUGCGGCAGCGACGCUUAUGCGUUGUUGGGUAGGGGAGCGUUCUGUAAGCCUGCGAAGGUGGCCUGUGAGGGUUGCUGGAGGUAUCAG
rnacentral:rRNA from 1 species